rnacentral:lncRNA from 1 species
GAAAAAACAAUAACAAGUUGUGCGAAACGUGCCAAAUCAGCCUGGGCCCGGCAGCAAUCCACUGGACACCCCCCUCCCCCUGUACAGCCACCUGGUUCCACACUACAAAGACGCAGAGGACACCAGACCACCAGACCACUGUACUGGAAACACAAAACCAAGAGAAUGGUAACCUUGUGGAGAAAGUUUCUUCUCACAUAAAAUGAGGUGACAAAGAGGACAAACAUCAGACUUCUUGUUUGAUGGAAGGACAAGAGGAAUGUGAACAUUGUUCCUAUGACAAAAGAUGGGUAUGUCACUAAAGCUAUGUACUAUAGAUAAUUUCACAAGACAAACUUUCUACAACUCUUCCUUUGUAUAAUAGGACUUCUCUAUUUAAACAAUUUUAAUAUCCUUAAAACCGAGAUUGUACUGGUUAUGUAACACUGCAUAAAGGAAGCAGGUUGAAAUUUUAUCAAAUACAUUUUCACAUGUAAUGAGCUUAUCAUAUGGUCCUCUCCUUUAUUUCAUCAUUAUGCUAAAUUAUGUCAAGUGAUUUCUUAAUGUUAGCAAAACUUUCAUUCUGGGAAUAAACCCAAUUUUUAUGAUAUAUUAUCCUUUUUACAUAUUCCUGGAUUUG